GUCUAUGGCCAGACCACCCUGAACUCACCGAAUCUCGUCUGAUCUUGAAAGCUAAGCAGGGUUGGGCCUGGUUAGCUCCUGGAUGGGACAGUUCAGGUUUUCAGAUU
rnacentral:rRNA from 1 species